UACAGAGGUCUCAAGCGUUGUUCGGAUUCAUUGGGCGUAAAGGGUGCGUAGGCGGCGCGGUAAGUCGGGUGUGAAAUCUCGGGGCUUAACUCCGAAACUGCAUUCGAUACUGCCGUGCUUGAGGACUGGAGAGGAGACUGGAAUUUACGGUGUAGCGGUGAAAUGCGUAGAUAUCGUAAGGAAGACCAGUGGCGAAGGCGGGUCUCUGGACAGUUCCUGGCGCUGAGGCACGAAGGUCAGGGGAGCAAACGGG
rnacentral:rRNA from 1 species